rnacentral:rRNA from 1 species
AUUGAACGCUGGCGGCAGGCCUAACACAUGCAAGUCGAGCGGAGCGGCGGACGGGCGAGUAAUGCCUAGGUAUCUGCCCGGUAGUGGGGGAUAACGUCCGGAAACGGGCGCCAAUACUGCAUACUAUCAGAUGUGUUUAGGGCGGAUUAGCUAGUUGGUGGGGUAAAGGCUUACCAAGGUGACGAUCUGUAACUGGUCUGAGAGGAUGAUCAGUCACACUGGAACUGAGACACGGUCCAGACUCCUACGGGAGGCAGCAGUGGGGAAUAUUGGGCAAUGGGCGAAAGCCUGAUCCAGCCAUGCCGCGUGUAUGAAGAAGGCCCUAGGGUUGUAAAGUACUUUCAGUCGGGAGGCGUUACCGACAGAAGAAGCACCGGCUAACUCCGUGCCAGCAGCCGCGGUAAUAC